rnacentral:lncRNA from 1 species
CACACCAAUACAGCCUUGUUCCCAACAUGGGGAUACUGGACUUUAGACCUCAGAGAGGCUUGGUAGUGAUCUUUGGACCAGUACUGGCCUGCAGGAGCCUAUCUUCAUGAAGGCAAGAAGUGGCUCAUCUUCUGGAUGCAUACCUCAUGGCAGAAGGGAAAGAGGAGUGUCCUACAUGCUGUAUGCGCUCUCAAAGAAGCCUGUGCCUACUGGACGGCAUCAGUGGCCAGUGCAGACACUGAACUGGGAUAGCUGGCCCAAACCAUCCUGCUUGGUGCUGCCCACCUCAAGAGACUCCACCCACCAGCCAUCCUAUCCUGUAUCUCCAACCCUACUGGACUUGCACCAACUCAAGCCUCAGCUUCCUCUCCUGCCAUCCCGAGGCCCCGUUGAUGCAGAGUCUGGGACCACACAGACAUGGAGCAAGUCCUGACUUCAGAGAGACCUUGCCUGUUGAAGGUUGCUUUUCUCUUUUGUUGUUUGUUUGUGUUUGCCUGAGAGGGCAGGAAAUAGAUACUUCAA